GUGGCCGCACACCUUCCGACGACAGACCUGAACCUCCCUGAGGCCCCGCUGGCAGCCCCGGGUCAUCCCCGGCAGCACUCGGGUUUAACCCGAUUAGGGAGCAGAAGGUGAGGAAGGGCCGUCCGCAGGUGGGCCGAGCAGAAGGGGCUGGGCGCAGUGCCUCCCGCAGGACAGCCCCGAGCGGAGCCGCUCGGCGCCCGGCAGCGCAUCCCGCGCCCCGCAUCUCGGAUGGCUGCGAGCGCCCUACGCACGGAGAUCACCGCGCCUUACAGCGUGCUGCAGCACCUGUAUAAAUUUUGAAUUUACACAUAUAAAGACGAAUAUGUAUUUUCUUGUAACCGGGUCACAAUUAUUUAUGAGCGCUAAUACUAAUUUUUUCUCUUGCCUUCAUUACAUCCAAUCAAAGCGCCGUGUAGCAAGGUACUCAAAAGGGUAUGAGUUUAUCAUCCCAUUUCAGAGGCAAACGAGAAAGACUGUUUCUCGAAAAGUCACAGUGAGUCAACGAAGACGCAUACACGAAAUUAGACCGAGUUUUUCUAAUCUGGUUAUUUCUACUGAUUCGAGCAUUGAUUUUUGAAGCCGAAGGCGUGAAUGAUUUUCAGACUAAUCAACCAAAGGCGCAGCAAGGAGACCGCGGUACACAGCUGCCGUAAGUAAAACUGCUGUGCCCAGCACCAGGAACUUUCCGGCAAUAAUGAAGGUGUUAAGGGCGAUGUGUCGUCAGUCGUGUUCUUCAGCUUCCUUUUGUGUCACACUAAACCAUCAGCAAAAGGUUGGACAGUUUUUCCCGUAGUGGUGUUUGCUUGCUUAGUUAGACUUUGGGAAGUCAGGUUAAUCCUAUGUUCCACAGGGGCUCAGUGACAUCAAAUGACUAAUGUUUCUGUGAAUGCUUCGGG